GGGUGAAUGACAGAGUGGUCGAUUGUGCUUUACUUGAAAUAAAGUGUGCUAAUAAGCACCAUGGGUUCGAAUCCCAUUUCGCCCG
rnacentral:tRNA from 2 species